UUUCCGGUUGAUCCUGCCGGAGGCCACUGCUAUCGGAGUUCGAUUAAGCCAUGCGAGUCGAGAGGGUUUAGACCCUCGGCGGACUGCUCAGUAACACGUGGAUAACCUGCCCUAAGGUGGAGAAUAACCCCGGGAAACUGGGGAUAAUACUCCAUAGAUUAGAGAUACUGGAAUGUUCUUUAGUCAAAAGUUCCGGCGCCUUAGGAUGGAUCUGCGGUCGAUUAGGUUGUUGUUGGGGUAACGGCCCAACAAGCCUGUAAUCGAUACGGGUUGUGGGAGCAAUAGCCCGGAGAUGGAAUCUGAGACAAGAUUCCAGGCCCUACGGGGCGCAGCAGGCGCGAAAACUUUACAAUGCAGGAAACUGUGAUAAGGGAACCCCGAGUGCCCGUAUACGCGGGCUGUCCAGGUGUUUAAAAGUCAUCUGAAGAAAGGGCCGGGCAAGACCGGUGCCAGCCGCCGCGGUAAUACCGGCGGCUCGAGUGGUGGCCACUAUUAUUGGGCUUAAAGCGUCCGUAGCUGGACUGAUAAGUCUCUUGGGAAAUCCGCCGGCUCAACCGGCGGGCGUCUAAGGGAUACUGCUGGUCUAGGGACCGGGAGAGGUGAGAGGUACUCCGGGGGUAGGAGUGAAAUCCUGUAAUCCCCGGGGGACCACCGAUGGCGAAGGCAUCUCACCAGAACGGCUCCGACAGUGAGGGACGAAAGCUGGGGGAGCAAACCGGAUUAGAUACCCGGGUAGUCCCAGCCGUAAACUAUGCGCGUCAAG
rnacentral:rRNA from 1 species